CAGCGCCACGGUAAUACGUAGGUGGCAAGCGUUGUCCGGAAUUAUUGGGCGUAAAGCGCGCGCAGGCGGUUUCUUAAGUCUGAUGUGAAAGCCCCCGGCUUAACCGGGGAGGGUCAUUGGAAACUGGGAGACUUAGAGUGCAGAAGAGGAGAGUGGAAUUCCAUGUGUAGCGGUGAAAUGCGUAGAUAUAUGGAGGAACACCAGUGGCGAAGGCGACUCUCUGGUCUGUAACUGACGCUGAGGCGCGAAAGCGUGGGGAGCAAACAGGAUUAGAUACCCGCGUAGUCCCUGUCUCUUAUAA
rnacentral:rRNA from 1 species